GCGUGAGUGAAGAAGGGUUUCGGCUCGUAAAGCUCUGUUGUUAAAGAAGAACGUGGGUAAGAGUAACUGUUUACCCAGUGACGGUAUUUAACCAGAAAGCCACGGCUAACUACGUGCCAGCAGCCGCGGUAAUACGUAGGUGGCAAGCGUUAUCCGGAUUUAUUGGGCGUAAAGCGAGCGCAGGCGGUCUUUUAAGUCUAAUGUGAAAGCCUUCGGCUCAACCGAAGAAGUGCAUUGGAAACUGGGAGACUUGAGUGCAGAAGAGGACAGUGGAACUCCAUGUGUAGCGGUGAAAUGCGUAGAUAUAUGGAAGAACACCAGUGGCGAAGGCGGCUGUCUGGUCUGCAACUGACGCUGAGGCUCGAAAGCAUGGGUAGCGAACAGGAUUAGAUACCCUGGUAGUCCAUGCCGUAAACGAUGAUUACUAAGUGUUGGAGGGUUUCCGCCCUUCAGUGCUGCAGCUAACGCAUUAAGUAAUCCGCCUGGGGAGUACGACCGCAAGGUUGAAACUCAAAAGAAUUGACGGGGGCCCGCACAAGCGGUGGAGCAUGUGGUUUAAUUCGAAGCUACGCGAAGAACCUUACCAGGUCUUGACAUCUUCUGACAGUCUAAGAGAUUAGAGGUUCCCUUCGGGGACAGAAUGACAGGUGGUGCAUGGUUGUCGUCAGCUCGUGUCGUGAGAUGUUGGGUUAAGUCCCGCAACGAGCGCAACCCUUAUUACUAGUUGCCAGCAUUAAGUUGGGCACUCUAGUGAGACUGCCGGUGACAAACCGGAGGAAGGUGGGGACGACGUCAAAUCAUCAUGCCCCUUAUGACCUGGGCUACACACGUGCUACAAUGGAUGGUACAACGAGUCGCGAGACCGCGAGGUUAAGCUAAUCUCUUAAAACCAUUCUCAGUUCGGACUGUAGGCUGCAACUCGCCUACACGAAGUCGGAAUCGCUAGUAAUCGCGG
rnacentral:rRNA from 1 species